rnacentral:rRNA from 1 species
UACGAAGGGUGCAAGCGUUACUCGGAAUUACUGGGCGUAAAGCGUGCGUAGGUGGUUCGUUAAGUCUGAUGUGAAAGCCUUGGGCUCAACCUGGGAAUGGCAUUGGAUACUGGCGACCUAGAGUGCGGUAGAGGGUGGCGGAAUUCCCGGUGUAGCAGUGAAAUGCGUAGAUAUCAGGAGGAACACCAAUGGCGAAGGCAGCUCGCUGGAACGGUACUGACGCUGAGGCGCGAAAGCGUGGGGAGCGAACAGG